CGUAAACGAUGUCGACUAGCCGUUGGGAUCCUUGAGAUCUUAGUGGCGCAGCUAACGCGAUAAGUCGACCGCCUGGGGAGUACGGCCGCAAGGUUAAAACUCAAAUGAAUUGACGGGGGCCCGCACAAGCGGUGGAGCAUGUGGUUUAAUUUGAAGCAACGCGAAGAACCUUACCUGGCCUUGACAUGCUGAGAACUUUCCAGAGAUGGAUUGGUGCCUUCGGGAACUCAGACACAGGUGCUGCAUGGCUGUCGUCAGCUCGUGUCCUGAGAUGUUGGGUUAAGUCCCGUAACGAGCGCAACCCUUGUCCUUAGUUACCAGCACCUCGGGUGGGCACUCUAAGGAGACUGCCGGUGACAAACCGGAGGAAGGUGGGGAUGACGUCAAGUCAUCAUGGCCCUUACGGCCAGGGCUACACACGUGCUACAAUGGUCGGUACAAAGGGUUGCCAAGCCGCGAGGUGGAGCUAAUCCCAUAAAACCGAUCGUAGUCCGGAUCGCAGU
rnacentral:rRNA from 1 species